rnacentral:rRNA from 1 species
ACGGAAGGCAGCAGUGGGGAAUAUUGGGCAAUGGGCGCAAGCCUGACCCAGCAACGCCGCGUGAAGGAAGAAGGCUUUCGGGUUGUAAACUUCUUUUAUCAGGGACGAAGAAAGUGACGGUACCUGAUGAAUAAGCCACGGCUAACUACGUGCCAGCAGCCGCGGUAAUACGUAGGUGGCAAGCGUUGUCCGGAUUUACUGGGUGUAAAGGGUGAGUAGGCGGGAAGGCAAGUCAGAUGUGAAAUGCAGGAGCUCAACUCCUGAGCUGCAUUUGAAACUGUUUUUCUUGAGAGUCGGAGGGGUAAUCGGAAUUCCCAGUGUAGCGGUGAAAUGCGCAGAGAUUGGGAGGAACACCAGUGGCGAAGGCGGAUUACUGGACGACAACUGACGCUGAUACACGAAAGCGUGGGGAGCAAACAGGAUUAGAUACCCUGUA